rnacentral:lncRNA from 1 species
UGGUAUUUUUGUGUAUGUCUUCAGUUUCAUUUUUUUUUUCUUUUAAGAUCUGGAUUAACUGCAGAAAGCAUCUUCCAGAAUUGGCUUGACACUUCUGGAAUACCAAAGCCUUUGCUGGAGGAGGGUGAGACGUGGAAGGAGAGUCGGCUCGUCCAGCAAGUGAGCGGAGAGGUUACAAAAUGGAUUCGGACAAACCAGAUGAUGAGAAAAAGUGGCAAAAAGAAAAGAAGGCUGGAUGAAGUUGUUUUCCAAAAGCCAGGUUGUCCAACAUCGAGGUCGACCCAGGCCAUCUCCAUAUCUGAACAGCAUUCUUGAAGCACAGGGUAAUGAUACUUCAGUUUGCCAUAAUUUUAUUUCAGAAAUGAUUGCCAGUAAGUAUAAGAAAUUUGUUAUUCUCCUGUGCUAUAGCUGUGUUUUUG